rnacentral:rRNA from 1 species
GAUGAACGCUGGCGGCGUGCUUAACACAUGCAAGUCGAACGAUGAAGCCCAGCUUGCUGGGUGGAUUAGUGGCGAACGGGUGAGUAACACGUGAGUAACCUGCCCUUAACUCUGGGAUAAGCCUGGGAAACUGGGUCUAAUACCGGAUAGGAGCGUCCACCGCAUGGUGGGUGUUGGAAAGAUUUAUCGGUUUUGGAUGGACUCGCGGCCUAUCAGCUUGGUGGUGAGGUAAUGGCUCACCAAGGCGACGACGGGUAGCCGGCCUGAGAGGGUGACCGGCCACACUGGGACUGAGACACGGCCCAGACUCCUACGGGAGGCAGCAGUGGGGAAUAUUGCACAAUGGGCGCAAGCCUGAUGCAGCGACGCCGCGUGAGGGAUGACGGCCUUCGGGUUGUAAACCUCUUUCAGUAGGGAAGAAGCGAAAGUGACGGUACCUGCAGAAGAAGCACCGGCUAACUACGUG